CGUGAGAUGUUCGGGUUAAGUCCCGCAACGAGCGCAACCCUCGACCUUAGUUGCCAGCAUUCAGUUGGGCACUCUAAGGUGACUGCCGGCUAAAAGUCGGAGGAAGGUGGGGAUGACGUCAAAUCAUCAUGCCCCUUAUGACCUGGGCUACACACGUGCUACAAUGGGCGGUACAAAGGGUCGCGAACCCGCGAGGGGGAGCCAAUCCCAAAAAGCCGCUCUCAGUUCGGAUUGCAGGCUGCAACUCGCCUGCACGAAGCCGGAAUCGCUAGUAAUCGCGGAUCAGCAUGCCGCGGUGAAUACGUUCCCGGGCCUU
rnacentral:rRNA from 1 species